AACGAACGCUGGCGGCAGGCCUAACACAUGCAAGUCGAGCGAGGACUUCGGUCCUAGCGGCGGACGGGUGAGUAACGCGUGGGAACGUGCCCUUUGCUUCGGAAUAGCCCUGGGAAACUGGGAGUAAUACCGGAUGAGCCCUUUGGGGGAAAGAUUUAUCGGCGAAGGAUCGGCCCGCGUUGGAUUAGGUAGUUGGUGGGGUAAUGGCCUACCAAGCCGACGAUCCAUAGCUGGUUUGAGAGGAUGAUCAGCCACACUGGGACUGAGACACGGCCCAGACUCCUACGGGAGGCAGCAGUGGGGAAUCUUAGACAAUGGGGGAAACCCUGAUCUAGCCAGGCCGCGUGAGCGAUGAAGGCCUUAGGGUUGUAAAGCUCUUUCAGCUGGGAAGAUAAUGACGGUACCAGCAGAAGAAGCCCCGGCUAACUCCGU
rnacentral:rRNA from 1 species